rnacentral:lncRNA from 1 species
CUCAGAUUCAACAGCUGGAGCUCCAGUGUCUCUCUCUUCACUUCCCUCUAAGGCUUCUUCAAGGACCUCUCUAGAUGUCUCAUUCCUGGGGCAAAACUCUUCCGCUUCUGCAUCCAGGGCAACUGAAACCUUUGGACACUGACUUUGUCUGCUGCAGUUCAAAAAAAGACACGUUUGCUUGGGACGGAUGUAGCAAUGAUGGAAAGGUGGUGGAGACAGGGCAACUAACUGACUCCAGUAAGUCUGCAUGUGUGACAGCGUCAUCACAAAGCCCCCAAGUUCUGGACGAGGAAGUUUGCAAUGUCUAAGACAAAGACAUUACCCUCUGCAGCACUGAAAAGAAAAAGGAGAAGAGAUGAUCUGAGCUGUUUGUGACCCAAUGUGAUGCAGCGGUUGGACAAAAGAGUGGACUAUCACCUUGAAUGGACUAUUCCUGUGAUCAGUAGCGGAGAGGAUGAGAAGAAAACGACGUAGUAGCUCCG